UUUGAUCAUGGCUCAGGAUGAACGCUAGCGGCAGGCUUAAUACAUGCAAGUCGUACGGGAUCCGAGGUAGCAAUACUUUGGUGAGAGUGGCGCACGGGUGCGUAACACGUAUGCAACCUACCUAUAACCGGGACACAACCCACCGAAAGGUGAGCUAAUAUCCCAUUACACUGCGAGAUGGCAUCAUUUUGCAGUUAAAACUCCGGUGGUUAUAGAUGGGCAUGCGCGACAUUAGCUAGUUGGUGAGGUAACGGCCCACCAAGGCUACGAUGUCUAGGGGUUCUGAGAGGAUUAUCCCCCACACUGGUACUGAGACACGGACCAGACUCCUACGGGAGGCAGCAGUAAGGAAUAUUGGUCAAUGGGCGCAAGCCUGAAWSAGKCAUGCCGCGUGAAGGAUGACGGCCCUAUGGGUUGUAAACUUCUUUUGUACGGGAAAAAACCACAGGUCGAGUAUCUGUGCUGAUGGUACCGUAAGAAUAAGCAUCGGCUAACUCCGUGCCAGCAGCCGCGGUAAUACGGAGGAUGCAAGCGUUAUCCGGAUUCAUUGGGUUUAAAGGGUGCGCAGGCGGAAUAAUAAGUCAGUGGUGAAAGCCUACAGCUUAACUGUAGAACUGCCAUUGAUACUGUCAUUCUUGAGUAUUGUUGAGGUAGGCGGAAUGUGUCAUGUAGCGGUGAAAUGCUUAGAUAUGACACAGAACACCGAUCGCGGAGGCAGCUUACCAAGCAAUAACUGACGCUCAUGCACGAAAGCGUGGGGAUCAAACAGGAUUAGAUACCCUGGUAGUCCACGCCGUAAACGAUGAUCACUCGAUGUUGGCGAUACACAGUCAGCGUCUUAGGGAAACUAUUAAGUGAUCCACCUGGGGAGUACGG
rnacentral:rRNA from 1 species